rnacentral:rRNA from 1 species
GAGUUUGAUCAUGGCUCAGGAUGAACGCUAGCGGCAGGCUUAACACAUGCAAGUCGAGGGGUAACAGGUUUUAGUUUACUAGAAUGCUGACGACCGGCGCACGGGUGAGUAACGCGUAUACAAUUUACCUUUUACAGGGGGAUAGCCUUUAGAAAUGAAGAUUAAUACCCCAUGGUAUUAUAGAGUGGCAUCACUUUAUGAUUAAAGCUUCGGCGGUAAGAGAUGAGUAUGCGUCCUAUUAGCUAGAUGGUAAGGUAACGGUUUACCAUGGCGACGAUAGGUAGGGGUCCUGAGAGGGAGAUCCCCCACACUGGUACUGAGACACGGACCAGACUCCUACGGGAGGCAGCAGUGAGGAAUAUUGGACAAUGGGCGAGAGCCUGAUCCAGCCAUGCCGCGUGCAGGAAGACGGCCCUAUGGGUUGUAAACUGCUUUUAUAUAGGAAGAAACCAUCUCUCGUGAGAGAUAUUGACGGUACUAUAAGAAUAAGGACCGGCUAACUCCGUGCCAGCAGCCGCGGUAAUACGGAGGGUCCGAGCGUUAUCCGGAAUCAUUGGGUUUAAAGGGUCCGUAGGCGGGAAUCUAAGUCAGUGGUGAAAUCUUGCAGCUCAACUGUAAAAUUGCCAUUGAUACUGGAUUUCUUGAAUUAGUGUGAAGUGGUUAGAAUGUGUAGUGUAGCGGUGAAAUGCAUAGAUAUUACACAGAAUACCAAUUGCGAAGGCAGAUCACUAACACUAUAUUGACGCUGAGGGACGAAAGCGUGGGGAGCGUACAGGAUUAGAUACCCUGGUAGUCCACGCCGUAAACGAUGGAUACUAGCUGUUCGGUCUUCGGAUUGAGUGGCUAAGCGAAAGUGAUAAGUAUCCCACCUGGGGAGUACGUUCGCAAGAAUGAAACUCAAAGGAAUUGACGGGGG